GACGAGGGAUCCUAGCGUUGUUCGGAAUUAUUGGGCGUAAAGCGCGUGUAGGCGGUUUGUUAAGUCUGAUGUGAAAGCCCCGGGCUCAACCUGGGAAGUGCAUUGGAUACUGGCAGACUUGAGUACGGGAGAGGAGAGUGGAAUUCCCAGUGUAGGAGUGAAAUCCGUAGAUAUUGGGAGGAACACCGGUGGCGAAGGCGGCUCUCUGGACCGAUACUGACGCUGAGACGCGAAAGCGUGGGGAGCAAACAGGAUUAGAUACCCCGGUAGU
rnacentral:rRNA from 1 species